UACGGAGGGGGCGAGUGUUGUUCGGAAUUACUGGGCGUAAAGGGCGCGCAGGCGGCUUGGCAAGUCGAGUGUGAAAGCCCUUGGCUUAACUAAGGAAUAGCGCUCGAAACUACCUCGCUGGAGGGCGGGAGAGGGAAGUGGAACUCUCGGUGUAGGGGUGAAAUCUGUAGAUAUCGAGAGGAACACCGGUGGCGAAGGCGGCUUCCUGGCCCGUACCUGACGCUGAGGAGCGAAAGCGUGGGUAGCGAACAGC
rnacentral:rRNA from 1 species